UUUCCCCAGGACCGCAGAAACUCGCGGGGGAGCUGAAUAAAUUGGCAAAUAAUCGUUCUCCUGCGGGCCUCAGUUUCUUCAUUUUAUACUCGGCAGUAAACCUCGCACAAGCCUCAACCUCACAAUGAGGACAGAACACUCAAGAAUGAGAUUCAUUCUAUCAUAAAAGAGGUCCUUGAGAGCUAUAGUCCUUCCACCAUGUGAGGAGGCAGUUAGAAGGCGCCAUCUGUGAACAAGAAAGUGAGUCCUCGCCAGGCGCCACAUCUGCUGAUGCCCUGAUCAUGGAUUUUCAAUCUCCACAACUAGUCUUGUGCUUUCACCCGGUUGGAGUGCAGUGGUGCGAUCUUGGUUCACUGCAGCCUUCACCUCCUGAGUUCAAGUGAUCCCCCUGCCUUAGCCUUCCAAGUAGCUGGGAUUACAGCACAAUUGCCCUGGCUACAACUUCCAAUACCAUGUUGAAUAGAAGUGGCACGAGUGGACUUUCUUUUCUUAAUCCCAGUCAUGAGAAUCCGUAAUGAUUUCAUGGUGCCAUGUAUUCUGUGAAACUGUAUGACACAUGUUCAAGCCUCAAAGCCACAGAAUAGGAGGACUGCAUGCAACAGUCUAUGCGCCCAGUCUAAGAAACGGACAUAGGCUGAACGAUGACUCUGCUUUUGUGCUGGCUGAGCAGAAUCCCACAGCAAGGAGGGCUGUCCACCCACCCCCUGCACAGCUCCGGCACUCCGUUGGAAAGCACCGGGUGGUUUCUGGGAACCCUGUCUGCAAAGCAUACCAAGUCAGGAGACAGCAUGCUGUGAUCCAUGGAUAUCUACAAAGUCAAGGCUGUUUCUUUUAUGCUCUGUAAUUGUGGGGUAUAUUCCCCACAUCACAUCCGUAACUUCACUGAUGAAAAGAGCAGGCUGGAGACUUGGAGUGAGAACUACAGCUGACCUGGACCACAUUUUUUACUUCUGAUCUCAAGAUAGCCAUUAUUUAGGUGCUAUUAGUUUAGGUGCUUUCACAAGAAACAUUUUCACCCCUACAAGCUCAUAAUUUUACUCCUUGAGAAGUGAUGGGGUUCAUUUAAAAUUUAAACCUUAAACAUGGAGGGUUAUUAAAUUCAUACCAUUUUAAUCAUAGUAUUUAAACUACGUGACUUGUCAAAUACCCCUUUUUCUCUUCAUUCUAAUGUGUACAUUAAAAUGUAUUAUGAUGUAUACAUGGAAUAUCAUCCUUCACCAGACUCUUCAGAAAGAGAUUGGAAGGUCAUCAAGGAGAAAGAAGUUGACAUGAACAACGAGUGACCCACCUCUAAGUGGUGAAUGAGGUUCAGUGAGCUCUGAGUACUCGGAGUGAAGAAAGAACAGGUGACAGACACAGAACUGUGCUGACAUGACGCCCCCGGCCAAGAGGACACCGUGCUGAGCAAAGUCCUUAAACGCUCUGACAGCGUGGAGUCUAUGAUUUUCCACAAGCCAUGAACCAUAUGUGACCAGAUUCCACAAAGGCUUGCCUGUCCACUAGAAUUCAACAACCAAAAAUCAUCGUAUAUCCUGAGGCAAGAACCCACUGCCUUGUGUCUACACUCAAGUUUGAAAAGCGCAUAGAAGCAACUGGAGACAUGGCUUAUAUAUUUGAGAUGGGGAAUUUAUGUUAACAUAAUUGCAUCUUCCUGGAACCUAAAAGUCUAGGUAAAAAACAGUCAACCUCCUAAAUCAUUAAUUCUGUGGGUUUGUUUUUCAUUCAAUGUAUUCAUCGGAGAACAACAACGUCCGUUCCAAUUUCCAAGAAUUCAAAAGCGUAUUUGGUCAGAGUAGCAAAUGAACAGAGCAAAAUAUUUUAUGAAAACCAUACCACACCUACUUACGCAAUGACUGAGCUUAAAUUAACUUGUAUGAUCACUAUCCGUGUGGUUAGACAAAUAAAUGGUGUACUCGUCUGUUUUGUGUUGCUAUAACAGAAUGCCUGAGACUGGAUGAUUUAUUUUUUAAAAGUUUAUUUGGCUCACAAUUCCGAUGACUGAAAGGGCUCCAGGUUGGGUGUCUGCCUCUGAUGAGGGCCUCAGGCUGCUUCAAGUCACAGUGGAAGACAAAGGGGAAUUGGUAUGUGCAGAGAUUACAGGGGGAGAGAGGAGGCAGGAACAGAGGAGAUGCCAGGCUCUUUCUACAGCUGUGUCUUGAAAGAGCUAAUGAGGUGAAAACUCACCCCUAAGGGUAAGCAUUAACCUGUUUAUGAGGGCCCUGCCUCCAUGACCCAAACAGCUCUAAUGAGGCUCCACUACCCAUCAUGACUAUGCUGGGGAUGAAAUUUCAACCUGAGAUUUUUUAGGGACAAACAAUCUAACCAUAGGAAAUGGGAAAGAAGAAACAGACAGAUAAACAAUUUUUAUGGAUUGAAGAAUUACAUUUGGAAUAUAGUUUACAUGGAGCAUUGCUGAUACUUCUAAAAUUAGGACAGAAAUUCUUUAAGAUAGAGCCGUCACUCCAGUGCAUACUUCAACUAACUCUUUGCCAUUUUUAUAUUCAUA